GGUUAAGCGACUAAGCGUACACGGUGGAUGCCCUGGCAGUCAGAGGCGAUGAAGGACGUGCUAAUCUGCGAUAAGCGUCGGUAAGGUGAUAUGAACCGUUAUAACCGGCGAUUUCCGAAUGGGGAAACCCAGUGUGAUUCGUCACACUAUCAUUAACUGAAUCCAUAGGUUAAUGAGGCGAACCGGGGGAACUGAAACAUCUAAGUACCCCGAGGAAAAGAAAUCAACCGAGAUUCCCCCAGUAGCGGCGAGCGAACGGGGAGGAGCCCAGAGCCUGAAUCAGUGUGUGUGUUAGUGGAAGCGUCUGGAAAGGCGCGCGAUACAGGGUGACAGCCCCGUACACAAAAAUGCACAUACUGUGAGCUCGAUGAGUAGGGCGGGACACGUGGUAUCCUGUCUGAAUAUGGGGGGACCAUCCUCCAAGGCUAAAUACUCCUGACUGACCGAUAGUGAACCAGUACCGUGAGGGAAAGGCGAAAAGAACCCCGGCGAGGGGAGUGAAAAAGAACCUGAAACCGUGUACGUACAAGCAGUGGGAGCACGCUUAGGCGUGUGACUGCGUACCUUUUGUAUAAUGGGUCAGCGACUUAUAUUCUGUAGCAAGGUUAACCGAAUAGGGGAGCCGAAGGGAAACCGAGUCUUAACUGGGCGUUAAGUUGCAGGGUAUAGACCCGAAACCCGGUGAUCUAGCCAUGGGCAGGUUGAAGGUUGGGUAACACUAACUGGAGGACCGAACCGACUAAUGUUGAAAAAUUAGCGGAUGACUUGUGGCUGGGGGUGAAAGGCCAAUCAAACCGGGAGAUAGCUGGUUCUCCCCGAAAGCUAUUUAGGUAGCGCCUCGUGAAUUCAUCUCCGGGGGUAGAGCACUGUUUCGGCAAGGGGGUCAUCCCGACUUACCAACCCGAUGCAAACUGCGAAUACCGGAGAAUGUUAUCACGGGAGACACACGGCGGGUGCUAACGUCCGUCGUGAAGAGGGAAACAACCCAGACCGCCAGCUAAGGUCCCAAAGUCAUGGUUAAGUGGGAAACGAUGUGGGAAGGCCCAGACAGCCAGGAUGUUGGCUUAGAAGCAGCCAUCAUUUAAAGAAAGCGUAAUAGCUCACUGGUCGAGUCGGCCUGCGCGGAAGAUGUAACGGGGCUAAACCAUGCACCGAAGCUGCGGCAGCGACGCUUAUGCGUUGUUGGGUAGGGGAGCGUUCUGUAAGCCUGUGAAGGUGUACUGUGAGGUAUGCUGGAGGUAUCAGAAGUGCGAAUGCUGACAUAAGUAACGAUAAAGCGGGUGAAAAGCCCGCUCGCCGGAAGACCAAGGGUUCCUGUCCAACGUUAAUCGGGGCAGGGUGAGUCGACCCCUAAGGCGAGGCCGAAAGGCGUAGUCGAUGGGAAACAGGUUAAUAUUCCUGUACUUGGUGUUACUGCGAAGGGGGGACGGAGAAGGCUAUGUUGGCCGGGCGACGGUUGUCCCGGUUUAAGCGUGUAGGCUGGUUUUCCAGGCAAAUCCGGAAAAUCAAGGCUGAGGCGUGAUGACGAGGCACUACGGUGCUGAAGCAACAAAUGCCCUGCUUCCAGGAAAAGCCUCUAAGCAUCAGGUAACAUCAAAUCGUACCCCAAACCGACACAGGUGGUCAGGUAGAGAAUACCAAGGCGCUUGAGAGAACUCGGGUGAAGGAACUAGGCAAAAUGGUGCCGUAACUUCGGGAGAAGGCACGCUGAUAUGUAGGUGAAGUCCCUCGCGGAUGGAGCUGAAAUCAGUCGAAGAUACCAGCUGGCUGCAACUGUUUAUUAAAAACACAGCACUGUGCAAACACGAAAGUGGACGUAUACGGUGUGACGCCUGCCCGGUGCCGGAAGGUUAAUUGAUGGGGUUAGCGCAAGCGAAGCUCUUGAUCGAAGCCCCGGUAAACGGCGGCCGUAACUAUAACGGUCCUAAGGUAGCGAAAUUCCUUGUCGGGUAAGUUCCGACCUGCACGAAUGGCGUAAUGAUGGCCAGGCUGUCUCCACCCGAGACUCAGUGAAAUUGAACUCGCUGUGAAGAUGCAGUGUACCCGCGGCAAGACGGAAAGACCCCGUGAACCUUUACUAUAGCUUGACACUGAACAUUGAGCCUUGAUGUGUAGGAUAGGUGGGAGGCUUUGAAGUGUGGACGCCAGUCUGCAUGGAGCCGACCUUGAAAUACCACCCUUUAAUGUUUGAUGUUCUAACGUUGACCCGUAAUCCGGGUUGCGGACAGUGUCUGGUGGGUAGUUUGACUGGGGCGGUCUCCUCCUAAAGAGUAACGGAGGAGCACGAAGGUUGGCUAAUCCUGGUCGGACAUCAGGAGGUUAGUGCAAUGGCAUAAGCCAGCUUGACUGCGAGCGUGACGGCGCGAGCAGGUGCGAAAGCAGGUCAUAGUGAUCCGGUGGUUCUGAAUGGAAGGGCCAUCGCUCAACGGAUAAAAGGUACUCCGGGGAUAACAGGCUGAUACCGCCCAAGAGUUCAUAUCGACGGCGGUGUUUGGCACCUCGAUGUCGGCUCAUCACAUCCUGGGGCUGAAGUAGGUCCCAAGGGUAUGGCUGUUCGCCAUUUAAAGUGGUACGCGAGCUGGGUUUAGAACGUCGUGAGACAGUUCGGUCCCUAUCUGCCGUGGGCGCUGGAGAACUGAGGGGGGCUGCUCCUAGUACGAGAGGACCGGAGUGGACGCAUCACUGGUGUUCGGGUUGUCAUGCCAAUGGCACUGCCCGGUAGCUAAAUGCGGAAGAGAUAAGUGCUGAAAGCAUCUAAGCACGAAACUUGCCCCGAGAUGAGUUCUCCCUGACUCCUUGAGAGUCCUGAAGGAACGUUGAAGACGACGACGUUGAUAGGCCGGGUGUGUAAGCGCAGCGAUGCGUUGAGCUAACCGGUACUAAUGAACCGUGAGGCUUAACCUU
rnacentral:rRNA from 1 species